GUGCCAGCCGCCGCGGUAAUACGGAAGGUCCGGGCGUUAUCCGGAUUUAUUGGGUUUAAAGGGAGCGUAGGCCGCUUUUUAAGCGUGUUGUGAAAUGUAGAUGCUCAACAUCUGCACUGCAGCGCGAACUGGAAAGCUUGAGUGCGCUGGAAGUUGGCGGAAUUCGUUGUGUAGCGGUGAAAUGCUUAGAUAUGACGAAGAACUCCGAUUGCGAAGGCAGCUGACUGUCGCGUAACUGACGCUGAAGCUCGAAAGUGCGGGUAUCGAACAGGAUUAGAUACCCUGGUAGUCCGCACGGUAAACGAUGGAUGCUCGCUGUGUGCCUUUAUGGUACGUGGCCAAGCGAAAGCAUUAAGCAUCCCACCUGGGGAGUACGCCGGCAACGGUGAAACUCAAAGGAAUUGACGGGGGCCCGCACAAGCGGAGGAACAUGUGGUUUAAUUCGAUGAUACGCGAGGAACCUUACCCGGGCUUGAACUGCCAGUGAACGAUACAGAGAUGUUGAGGCCCUUCGGGGCGCUGGUGGAGGUGCUGCAUGGUUGUCGUCAGCUCGUGCCGUGAGGUGUCGGCUUAAGUGCCAUAACGAGCGCAACCCCUUUUCUUAGUUGCCAUCAGGUUUAGGCUGGGCACUCUGGGAAUACUGCCACCGUAAGGUGUGAGGAAGGUGGGGAUGACGUCAAAUCAGCACGGCCCUUACGUCCGGGGCUACACACGUGUUACAAUGGCGCAUACAGAGAGUUGGUUUAUGGUAACAUAGAUCUAAUCAUUAAAAUGCGUCGUAGUUCGGAUUGGGGUCUGCAACCCGACCCCAUGAAGCUGGAUUCGCUAGUAAUCGCGCAUCAGCCAUGGCGCGGUGAAUACGUUCCCGGGCCUUGUACACACCGCCCGU
rnacentral:rRNA from 1 species